ACUUCAAUGAAAUGAGGAUCUGUGAUCGUGAAGUGGAUUCAGCAGAGGUGUUCUGUAGACUGUGAGGUUCCUUGUUCUUGAUUCCAGUAAGGUUGGGUGCUGUGGAUUAACAAGCAUGACUGUGUACUGUGGGUGUUGGUUCAACUCUACUUGUUCCAGCAUCCAGUAGUUGAGAUUGAGGACUCUGAUUCGAGACGGCGUCUCGACGUCGACUUUGGAUUGCAUGAUUUGUACCUUCUAUUUGAGACGGGUUGAGGCCGUUAGGAGAGAUUCCAGUCGCUAGCCCCUUCGUUAUGAGGAUUUCUUAUUUUAGUUUUCUGUUAUUGUUUCUACGCAUAUACUGAUGAUGUGGGUUUGUAUUGUGGACAUUGAACAUUCGGGUUUGCUACUUUUGUUUUCCGCUACGGAUUUUUCUCAUUACUUUGUGGAUUUGUUUUCUUCGUUGUAGUGGAGUAGGAUGUUUACAUAUAUCUUCGAGGAUUCUAUAUCGUCAUUCCUUAUUAAACUG